AUCCAGGUGAGGAGUACCAAAUAGAACGACACGUGCGUCCUGGAU
rfam:Schistosoma mattheei strain Denwood, Zambia genome assembly, scaffold: SMTD_scaffold0005016